CUGACUGCUCCAUGCCGUUCCCUCGGGCCCUGUCGCUGUCACAGAGGGCAGAGCUCAGCAGUGCCCCUCUGCUCCCUGUGAGGAGGCUGCAGCCGCCAUGAGGCCUCCCCUCAGCUCCUUUGCCCUGCUCUGAGCAAACCCAGGGACCUCAGCCACUUCUCAUAUGUCUUGCCCUCUAGACCUUUCCCCAUCUUCGUAACUUUGGAUGCUCUCUAAUAGCUUUAUAUCUUUCUCAUGUUGUAGCACCCAAAACUGCACCCCGUGCUUGAGGUGAGGCUCCACCAGUACAAAGUGGGACAACCAAUUCCCUUGACUGGCUAGCAGUGCUUUAUUGUAGGUGGAGCGUGGACUAGUUAUGUUAAAGGAGUUGCAUAUAGAAUGUUAUUUUCACGUAAAAGGGAAUAAAAUGGAAAACUAGAACUUAGUUAGUUAAGUUGCUUUCUGUCCUUGGAUCUUGAAUCUUGGAUCUUCGUCUGGAGCUGUUUUUCUUUUUUCAUUAUCCUAGUUAUGUAUAUUAAAUAAACACCAGGUCAUGAAUUAUUGCAAACUUCAUCAUGGCUUGUAUUUGCAGAUAGUUCAUAGUUUCAUCAUUUUCAGAGCUACAUUUUUAGUUUGCUAAAUGUCAGAGGAAAUAUUUAGAGUUUUUUUUUUAUUUUAUUAUGUUGCAUAAAAUAUUAUUUUCCCUCCCUCUGAGAAAAUUGGAAAGGCAGAGAAAAGUCUGUUCUCAAACUCAGCUGGUUCCUGCAGAGAGGGAAGUAGUUAAGAGACUGCACAUCGUGCUCCUUGAGGACAUGACAGCUGGUCAUUUAAAUCAUGGAUGACUUCUUGGGAAUGAUUCACAAUUAUGUUUUAGGAGCAUGUUUGCCUACUGUUAUGUUGUAGAAGAACAUCUUUGCCUGUUUUGGACAGUCUCUGUUUCUUGCAUCAUUUUUCAUCUCUGGUACAAGUUAGUUUUGAGUGUAGCAACGAAGUGUCUUGUAAAGCUUUUGUGAUUUUCAAGCAAAAGAAAAUGAAGCAGGUAAUAGAGAACCCCAUGCUGGAGUGUUUUCACAUAGCAACAGUGGCACUGUGACCACCCUUUCUCUUAGCCCAUUAAGCAUGCUACCACUGCUGCUUUUGCAUAGUCUACAUCUUUCAGUACAUCCUCUCAUAGUUUUCUAUAAAAGAGAAACAGUGAACAUCCUUACAAGCAUGACCAGUUCUCAGCAAUAUUUCCUCUUCUGUUCACAAUGGAAAGGCUUUUAGAAAGUCACCAAUCAUUUCCAAACAGGAAAGCACUGGAAGUCGUUCUCUGUAGUGUUUGAAGACCUCUACUCUUGAGCACAUCCUUAGCACAUCCUCUGUUCUUCAGCUAGUCCAGCAAGUGGGUUAUGCUGAGGACAGUAUAUCUCAUUCCCUUAUGAUUCAAUAGGACAGGAAUGUGUUUACUCAAAUGGGUGAUCUGGCAUUCUCUUUUUGAGCUGGACUCUUUUAUUGCAGAAUACGGGGCUUUAUGCAUCAGAGUAUGAAAAUAAAUGCAAGCUGGAAGAGUGUGCAUAUAAUACAUGCUGUGGUUCACCAACUUUGAAAAGUUAUUGCUUUACUCGUUGACUUUUUGGCAGAUAUAAUGUCAAUCUGUCACUUUCAGGAACAAUACUCAGGAUAAGAAGGGGUUAAAAAAGACUAAAUCAGCACAGUGCUGGACUGAUCUUGAUUUUUUCCAUAAAGCAUAAACCUAAUUCCUCAGUCUGGUAGAGGGAUCAAAGCAUAGCUCUAUGUCACAGCUCACUGGGUGUGAUCUUUUGAAUAAAAACAUCUUCUCCUGGCAAUGAUUUUCAAAAACAUUUUGUACUUUAUUUCUGUGAAAUCAGGAGAUCGCACAUCAGCCAACACAUUGUCAGGUAUCAGGAGCAAAUCCAUGUCUGGCUUACCUCACAAGGUCUGUCCUCUUUUUUAUUACUGUUUUAUUACUGCCACUAGUUUUAUUGCAGUGAGGCCAUCAGUAAAAGGGCAGUAGAAGAUAACUGAUUUGAAGAUGCACUUGGUUUUGCUUACUAGCUAAGCCUACCAGAGCAUAGUUUUCUUUAGAAUGGUGAUAGUAUCAAACAACUUCUAGCAUAAGCUUACAAAGUUGUUAUCCAGUUUUGCAUGCCAUUUGAAGGCCCACAAAUGUUUUCUUAAAAAGCAGGAUAAAAAAAACAAGAAUAACAAAAGCAGUAACUAUAUAAAAAAAUAUAGCAAGAAGCAAUGUCUCACGAAA
ensembl:lncRNA